GAGGGAAAGGUGAAAAGCACUUCGAUAAGAAGAGUGAAAUAGUUCCUGAAACCAUGCGCCUACAAGCGGUCGGAGCUGCUUAUGCAGUGACGGCGUGCCUUUUGCAUAAUGAACCUACGAGUUACCGUAUCUGGCGAGGAUAAGCGGCACGAGCCGCGCAUCCGCAGUGAAAGCGAGCCUGAAGAGGGCGCCAUAGUCAGGUGUGGUAGACGCGAAACCAAGUGAUCUACACAUGUCCAGGAUGAAGUCCCGGUAACACGGGAUGGAGGUCCGAACGGAUAAGCGUUGAAAAGCUUCCCGAUGAGGUGUGUGUAGGAGUGAAAGGCCAAUCAAACUUGGAGAUAGCUCGUACUCCCCGAAAGGCAUUUAGGUGCCGCGUGCAGUGUUCUCCCCGAGAGGUAGAGCGACCGAUAGGACGCGAGGGCUUCACCGCCUAUCAAGUCCUGACGAACUCCGAAUGCUCAGGGGACUGUAGCUGCGCAGUAAGGGGACGGGUGCUAAGGUCCGUUCCCGAGAGGAGAAGAAUCCAGACCGCCGUCUAAGGUCCCGGAGUUCUGCCUGAGUUAGUCUAACGAAGUCUGGUCCCCGCGACAGCCAGGAUGUUGGCUUGGAAGCAGCCAUUCAUUUAAAGAGUGCGUAACAGCUCACUGGUCGAGGGUCCGGGCGUGGAUAAUAAUCGGGUAUAAGGCAGACACCGAAGACGCGGGAUAGCAAUGUAUAUUAAAAGUAUCGGUAGGGGAGCAUUCCAUCGGCGUCGAAUGCGGCGAGACGAUCGUCGCUGGAGCUUAUGGAAAAGCAAAUGUAGGUAUAAGUAACGAUAAGGGGGGUAAGAUUCCCCCCCGCCGUAAGACUAAGGUUUCCCGGGCAAUGCCAAUCAUCCCGGGGUCAGUCGGGUCCUAAGGCUCAGCCGAACGGCGAGGCCGAUGGCAGAAAGGGUCAACAUUCCCUUACUGCCGCACGGAGCGACGCGGAGACGGAGGCGUGACACCACCGCGGAGAUACGGAAUUCUCCGUUGAAGGGCGUAGGCGUCGAGGGCGGCAGGCAAAUCCACCGCCCGAGCCGAACCCCGAAAGUAUGCUUUUCCCCUCGGGGAAAGGCAAUAGCGUGGGUAAUCAUACUCCCUAGAAAAUCCGCUAAGCUUCAUCCGUGCGGCACCCGUACCGCAAACGGACACACGUAGUCGGGUAGAACAUACUGAGGCGUUGAGAGAUUCAUGGUUAAGGAACUAGGCAAACUGACCCCGUAACUUCGGGAUAAGGGGUCCUCAUAGCAAUAUGAGGCGCAGAGAAUAGGUCCAGGCAACUGUUUAACAAAAACACAGGGCUGUGCAAACUCGAAAGAUGACGUAUACAGCCUGACACCUGCCCGGUGCCGGAAGGUUAAGAGGAGAGCUCAUCCUUUAAGGUGAAGGUUUGAAUUGAAGCCCCGGUAAACGGCGGCCGUAACUAUAACGGUCCUAAGGUAGCGAAAUUCCUUGUCGGGUAAGUUCCGACCUGCACGAAUGGUGUAAUGAUCCGGACGCUGUCUCAACCAUGAUCUCAGUGAAAUUGUAGUAUCGGUGAAGAUGCCGAUUACCCGCGAUGGGACGAAAAGACCCCGUGAACCUUUACUACAGCUUAGCAUUGAUCUCGGUCAUCCGAUGUGUAGGAUAGGCCGGAGGCUUCGAAGC
rnacentral:rRNA from 1 species